UAAACGAAAGCGGCCCCCUAUUUCCCUGUCGGAUUUGGAUACCGGCCAGCCGAGAAAAGGAAAGGGGAAGGAAGGCGCGGCAGGCUAGGGUUUCUCGACGGCCCCACCGCCCUCUCCGCCAUGGACGCGCAGCGAGCUCUCCUCGACGAGCUCAUGGGCACAGCUCGCAACCUGACGGAGGAGGAGAAGAAGGGGCACAAGGAGCUGAAGUGGGACGAUCCGGACGUGUGCGGCCCCUUCAUGGUUCGCUUCUGCCCCCACGACCUCUUCAUCAACACCAAGAGCAACCUCGGGCCGUGCUCGAGGAUCCAUGACCCGAAGCUCAAGGAGAGCUUCGAGAAGUCUCCCAGGCAUGAUAGUUAUAUGCGAAGGUUUGAGGCAGAGCUUGCACAACAAUGCGAGAAAUUGGUUAUGGAUUUGGAUAGAAAAAUAAGGCGCGGUCGAGAAAGGUUGGCUCAUGAUACUGCUGUGCCACUACCAAUCCCUAGCAAAAUAACUGAGCAGCUCUCAGUGCGAGAAGAACAGAUAAAAAAGCUGUUGGAGCAAAUCGAGGAGCUUGGUGAGGCUGGUAAAGUGGAUGAAGCUGAGGCCCUUAUGCGGAAGGUUGACCUUCUAAAUGCUGAGAAGACAGUUUUAGCUAACCAAGCAGACAACAAAGCGGCCAUGCUUGAGAAGAAGAUGGAACUUUGUGAAACGUGUGGAUCAUUCUUAGUUUCCGAUGAUGCUCUUGAGAGAACACAAUCCCACGUGACUGGGAAACAGCACAUUGGUUAUGGUAUGGUUAGAGAUUUCCUGACGGAAUAUAAGGCUGCAAAAGAAAAGGCAAAAGAGGAAGAGAGGCUUGCAAGGGAGAAGAAAGAAGAGGAACGUAGGAAACAGAGGGAAAAAGAGUACCAUAGUGGGGGCAGGGAUAGUGAUACCAGAAGAGAGAAGUCAGGGGAGUGUGACUAUGACCGUGAUCGUCACUAUGAUCGAAGCCGCGGAAGAGAAAGGUCAUAUGAUCACAGAGAUAGGAGCAGUUCAUACAGAAAUGGGAGGGAUUCUGAAAGAGGCGGAUACAGAUAUAGGAGUGGUGAUAUGACAAACGACAGAGGGAGAAUGAGGAGCAGAUCACGUUCUCCAAUCAGGCAUGGCUACGGAAGAUCUAGAAGUCCAGAUCAUUAGCUGAACAUUUAGAUAGUUUUAUUACCAGUUGUGACUCAUAAGCUCUGUUUGGAACCCUACAGUCUUCCUUUUACAUGGGUAAAAAAAAAUCUCAGGUAGGUAUUGUCCUUCCCACAUUUUUUGAGUUAUUGAUAUUCUAUAUGUAUGCUCAAGCUUUGUUUCAACAUUUGGAAUUGGAAGUUAUUGUCUAAAAGCUGAAAGUUAGUACAAUAAGACCAGUAUUGGACAUCAUGUCUGGAUGAAGAUGUUUACAGCCUAUGACAGGUAAAAUUUGGUAAUUAAUUUUCAUGUUACGCAAGUUGCUAUUUUUUUCUUCUUAAAACUUCGUGAGAAACCAUUUUGAUUCUGCUUCAUUGCGAUUGGCCUCUCUUUGCUUCGAUUUUACCCUUACAUCCAAGCUCAGCUCGGCCAUGGAUCCGUCAAUUUCUGGCAAAAUUUAUGCAUAAUGGUGUUUUUUUGUAGUUGUAAAUAUUACGAAGUAAUGCUGCCUUUGGAAAGAACAAUCGGAAGGAAAAAAAAAAAAAGAAACGAUCCAGGAUCUAUGCUAAUCACCCACAGAUUCUUAUUCUGGAAUCCAAGUAGUUACAACUCUACUGGAGGCCUGGUUUUAGCUGUCCAUAACCAUACCCUGCUAAAAACCACAAGGACUAUCCCUAGUUCUUGACGGGUCGCUGGACCCUGCCUUUUCCUAUCUUUUUUCUUUUCUUUUUACGUUGUGCCUUGAUUACUGGCUCCUGUACGUCUAGUUAACAUACAGUUGUUUGUGCUGCAAAAUAUUAGCUAGCCUGGUGGUCAGUAAUUAGUGUGAUAUUGGAGCAAUUGCAAUGUAUUUUAAAUAUGUAACCACUCAGAUGAGCUGUUAACUUUGUGUUUUUAGUGUUUACUUUCAAUCAUAACAUUUGAGCUGUAGGUUAACAUUGCUGGUUUGUGGAUAGCAAUUGCAUGGAUCAUACAGCCUCAGCGAGAAAUGGUAAUCACUCUCUUUGGAAUCUGGAGGCAAAAUUGUUUGACAAGUCCCAGGUUCAGUCUGAAGCAGCAUCCGAACGCCGGAUGACGUUGUGACGUUGCAAUCUUCACCUCUUGAUACAAGAUGGGAACGAAACAUAAGAGUCGGGGCGGAUGGGAAGCCACCGGUGGCGGAAGGGGUGGCAGCGGUUCCUGGCCGCGGUCUGUGACUGAGAGGAGGUUGCCGGGCGCCGGAGAGAAAGAAGCCAGUGGCCGGGCAGGGCUUGGGGCAGAGAGGAAGAAGCCGGGGGAGAAGGAAGAAGAGGGCGAUGUCAAUGACUAUGGCCUCCCGGCACGCAGGCUAGCAAGCACUGUGUUCUAAUCAUUAGACGGUUUUAGAUCAUCAGAGAUAUAACAGACUCGAUCUCCUCGUA